rnacentral:rRNA from 1 species
UACGUAGGGUGCAAGCGUUAAUCGGAAUUACUGGGCGUAAAGCGUGCGCAGGCGGUUUUGUAAGUCUGACGUGAAAUCCCCGGGCUUAACCUGGGAAUUGCGUUGGAGACUGCAAGGCUGGAAUCUGGCAGAGGGGGGUAGAAUUCCACGUGUAGCAGUGAAAUGCGUAGAGAUGUGGAGGAACACCGAUGGCGAAGGCAGCCCCCUGGGCUAAGAUUGACGCUCAUGCACGAAAGCGU